GUGGACCUACUGCAGGGUUGGUAAAGGGUUACUAACCCUAAAAUUAUAUGUUUUGCUAGACUGAUGUAUGGGUCUGAGCAUGUUUGUGCCAUGUAUAUCUGUUAUCUGUUUUCAUAAGCAUGUUAAGCAUAUAUUAUCUGUAACUCUGUAUGCAUGUUCUGUUUUGUUAUUGUUUUUGGAGAGGGAUUGUUAUAAUGGAGGAAGUGUUCUAAAAAGUAGUUUGCCAUUCAUCUGGUAGUAUGGCUGCGUAUAUCUGUUAUAUGCCGCCUCGAUACAAUAUGGUGUGUAGGGAUGGGUGGGUGUUUUAAACCCCACAUGGUGUGUUGGGAUGGUCGGAGAUGGUGUGUAGAGGAUAUCUAAUUUCUGAUGAUGACUGUAUUGCUGUAUCUUUAUCUAAGAUGGGAUUAGGCCC
rnacentral:lncRNA from 1 species